GUGUUGGUGGUUUAGCGGUAGAAUUUUUGCCUUCCAUGCAGGAGACCCAGGUGUGAUUCCUGGCUAGCACA
rnacentral:tRNA from 1 species